rnacentral:SRP_RNA from 1 species
GCCAGGCAUAGUGGUGUUUGCUGAUAGUCCUGGCUACUCAGGAGGCUGAGGCAGGAGGAUCACUGAGUCCAGUAGUUCUGGGCUGUGGUGUGCCUAGAUUGGGUGUCUGCACUAACUUUGGUAUCAGUAUGGUGACUUCCCAGGGGAAGGGGGACCACCAGGUUGCCUGAGGAGGAGUGAACCAGCCCAGAUGGGAAAUAGAGCAGGUCAAAACUCCUGUGCUGAUCAUUAGUGGGAUUGUAUCCCUGAAUAGCCACUGUCUUCCAGCCUGAGCAAUACACAGAGACCCUGUCUCU